UCUCAGGGGAGGAAGGGCAGCUCUAAUUGGUUUCUCAAUGAAAGAUAAUCACCUAUUCCCCGGAGAGCCUAGGGCUUAGCACUCUGUUCUCCACUCAUCCUCCCUUCGGUGCUUUUAGUCCAUUCAGCAGAAGUGGAUCGAAGCAAGCGGCUCCUCACCCCGCAUUAGGGCCAGCGCGCCGCUGCGCUCGGUGCUUAGCGCCCCAUCCACUGACUCCCUCCGCGCUCGCCUCGUCCGCCUGUCGUCCCAGCCGCCGCCGCCGCCGCCGCCGAAAAAGUUUCGCGGAGGGGCUCAGGGAAAAAUGAGCGAGCUGGAGGAAGACUUUGCCAAGAUUCUCAUGCUCAAGGAGGAGAGGAUCAAAGAGCUGGAGAAGCGGCUGUCAGAGAAGGAGGAGGAAAUCCAGGAGCUGAAGAGGAAGCUGCACAAAUGCCAGUCGGUGCUGCCGGUGCCCUCCACCCACAUCGGCCCGCGGACCACCCGGGCGCAGGGCAUCUCCGCCGAGCCGCAGACUUACAGGUCCUUCCACGACCUCCGACAGGCAUUCCGGAAGUUCACCAAAUCUGAAAGGUAGGCGCUGGGCGCCGCUGGCCAGGGCAGCGCCGAGGCCACUGCUCCUGGCCGUGGGCCGGGCGCGGGUCGGGGCUAACGAUGAGGGGCGGGGGGCUGCUCAGCGCAGGGCGCC